GACGAACGCUGGCGGCGUGCUUAACACAUGCAAGUCGAACGGUGAAGCGCCUUCCUUUUUGGUGGGUGUGGAUGAGUGGCGAACGGGUGAGUAACACGUGAGUAACCUGCCCCCUUCUUCUGGAUAACCGCAUGAAAGUGUGGCUAAUACGGGAUAUUCUGGGUCUGUCGCAUGAUGGGUCUGGGAAGGUUUUGGUUUGGUGGGGGAUGGGCUCGCGGCCUAUUAGCUUGUUGGUGGGGUGAUGGCCUACCAAGGCGGUGACGGGUAGCCGGCCUGAGAGGGUGGACGGUCACACUGGGACUGAGACACGGCCCAGACUCCUACGGGAGGCAGCAGUGGGGAAUAUUGCACAAUGGGCGCAAGCCUGAUGCAGCGACGCCGCGUGAGGGAUGGAGGCCUUCGGGUUGUGAACCUCUUUCGCCAGUGAAGCAGGCCUGCCUCGUUUGUGGGUGGGUUGACGGUAGCUGGAUAAGAAGCGCCGGCUAACUACGUG
rnacentral:rRNA from 1 species